UACGGAGGGUGCAAGCGUUAUCCGGAAUCAUUGGGUUUAAAGGGUCCGCAGGCGGGAAGAUAAGUCAGUGGUGAAAUCUCACAGCUCAACUGUGAAACUGCCAUUGAUACUGUCUUUCUUGAAUUCGAUCGAAGUGGGCGGAAUGUGACAUGUAGCGGUGAAAUGCUUAGAUAUGUCACAGAACACCGAUAGCGAAGGCAGCUCACUAGGUCUGGAUUGACGCUCAGGGACGAAAGCGUGGGGAGCAAACAGGAUUAGAUACCCUGGUAGUCCACGCCGUAAACUAUCAAUACUCGUUCUCAGGUCUUCGGAUUUGGGGACUAAGCGAAAGUGAUAAGUAUUGCACCUGGGGAGUACGAUCGCAAGGUUG
rnacentral:rRNA from 1 species